CAACAGCAUAGAGAUAAAUGUAGUGGCAGGAUAUGUAGAUCCACAGAAGUUAAAUAAUCCUGUAACAUUUCAUAAAAUGUUGGGAUUUGCCUAGACCUUCACAUGGGCAGCAGGUGUGAUGAGAUGCUCUCACUGAGCCAUACAGUGCCUUUCUGUAUUAACCAGUUCUCAGACUAUUUCAAACUGAUGAGGUUGCCCUAGCUAGAAAGCCAAGGCUCUUUCAUUUCUUUCUGCCCCUCUCCUUUGCCUUCCUUCAACACCAUGGAGAGUGGUCCAGCAGCAGCUCAAUCCAUGCUUGUCAGCAGCCGAGCUCCAUACACUGCAGCUUCGGUCCACAUCCCCCAAGCCUCCUUCUGAUAUUCCUCAGCAGCACCAAUGCACUGUCACUCUGUGUUCUCUUAGGUCCCGUUGAGGUCCUCCAGGACUGCGUCCAUGAAGACAUCAAGGACGAGGAGCUCCUGGCGGAGGCGUCAUGUGAGGAUCACCACCGUCCUGUUGAGGUCCUCCAGGACUGCGUCCAUGAAGACAUCGAGGACGAGGAGCCCCUGGUGA